UGUCCCAAACCACUCUCCCACUCAUCACCCUCACUUUCAUUUCUUUGGAUUAUCUUUCAUCUGUUUACCACCAGCCUUCACAGCCUCACCCAAGGCUGAAGCAGAGCUAGGAGGGAGUUUCCUUUCCUGGUUGAGCUGCUGACUGCUGUGGGUAAGCAGGUCCCAUGAGGGCUCUUUACAGGAGCAAGAGAAAGAGAAAGCAAGAGUGAGUGGGCUGCAAAGACUGUUGCUUCAUGGUUUCCCGUAAGCCCCAGAAAUAGAAAGGCAGACUUCCGACUGGCAGAGCCCCUAUGCUAACCACCAGACCACACUGCCAGAUAAGAAAAAUGUUCAAUUGUGUCAUACUUCCCUCAUCAGCUCCAGUGUCUGAAAACGGCUCUGAAUUUCAGAGAGCCUUACCAUGACCCGGGGAUUUCAAGAGGAUCGAAGAGGGAAGACCAAGGGAUCAGGAAUCUUUUUCUCUCUCUCUUUUCUGGGGCUUACAUAGCACAACCAGUGCCACAGCCCACCCCAGAUGUUAAAGGAACAUGAGAGAUUGGAAGCCCCAGAAGGAACCUGCUUCACCUGUUCCACUCCUAGAUCACUCCCUCCUGACGUCCCAACUACCUAAACUCGCCUGCACACUGUUAACGCUGACAACCUCCUUAACAUUUUUCUGACUGCUCUGCAGUGUAACCCUGCUGGUUGCAGUCCCCAGUCAGAGGCAAUGGGCCAUCUUCCUGCCCAUUGUCCUGGGUGUAAGCAUGACGUCUGGGGCCAGAAGCGUGGGACUACAAUAUGCUUACAACAUCAUCACACCAGGAAAACUAGCAGAUGCUUCAGAGAAAGGUCCUAGGUUCUAUGAGCCCACGUAACACAAAAAACAGCUGCACUGGAAGCUUUCACUGAAAGGAAAAACCCCUAACUGCCAGCGUGGCAGAUAAGAGACUAGCUCCAGAUGAUAUGUUAGCUUCCCAGGAGUAAACACUCUCAGGGAACAUAGUGUAUCCUACCGGAUGUGGAUAAAUAUUGCAGGUAAAGUAAUCCAAAUUGCCCAACAGAUGUACCACCAAACCGAAACCAAAUUCUACAUGUGGUCCCCUGACUUUCCUAGAACUUGGAUGUCCCCUGUAGCCUGGGGGGACCUUGUUUUAGGAGGCCCUCCUGCCCACAAGUGGACUUACAUACUGCCCCUCCUAUGUAUAAUUGGCACAGCCUUCAUACAAGUAUAUUAGCUCUUCAGAUGGUGAACCAAAUGUUAGGGAGUGAAUUUUGAAGAAAUUGAGUUGGGUGCAAAAAGUUGCUCCCAGCAAAAUGUCAUUUGAUCAAACAAUUCCCCACUGGGACAGAAACCAUCAGGGCACCCCGCCCCUCACCACCCACUCAGCCCCGCUCACCUCUGUAGCACCUAGUAAGUCACAUGCAAGAAAACUCACCCUUGCUCUCUUUGAUUGACUGCCCCCAGCCUGACCCCUGCCAGAACAGAUCACUCAAAAUUAAUCCUCCCCUCUCUACCUCCUCUUGGCAUUAUUCAACAGGUAGGCUUCUGUCCCAUAUCUACCUAGGUCUCCAGCGCCAGGCUCCCUCUCUUCCCCAGAGGUCAGGGAGCCCUCUUCUCAGUAGGGCCCUCACCCAAGGACUCCAUUCAGUGCCUAUACCUGCAUAAGUAAUAAACCUUUGAAUUGCCUGUGAUCACCAGGUCAGGUGUGGUGAUUUUGAUCUCCAAUACCUUUAAAUGGGUGAGACCAGCAGAUCUGGUUCCUUUCACUGGAAUAUUGUCAUGGCCCAAUUCUGCAACCAAUUGACUUCAUUACUACCAACCAACUGCACCUCCAACUCCUCCAACUGACCCCACACCCAGACCCUUACUUGGGCUAUUUCCUAACAGACACACCUGCUCUGCUUAAGAAAACCAUCAUUGAAAUCACUGGCUAUUAAUUCCUACUCAGGCCUCAGUAACUCUGUGAGCUGGAGGAAGUUCUGUAGCUUUUCUGCACCUCAGUUUUAUCACCCGUAAAAUUAUGAUUGCAAUACUUACUUCAUUAGGGUAUUGCAAGGACCUAGGAAAACAUUCUAUGUAAAGCUCAUAGUACGAGCCCGACAACAAGGAAGUUUCCAGGUAAUUGCUCACCAAGGGGCAACUCAAUUUCUGCUUCCUCCAGAAAGCCUUCCAUGCUGAUGUCCACGCUGAUCUCUCCCUACUCCAAUCUGAUUGCAGUUUUGGUCAGCACCUCACUAUUGACUGUGUAUUUGUUCUCCAUUACAAAUGUGUUCAUUUUGACUUCCAAAUAAGAUAAAAAGGUCUUGGAAAGAA